rnacentral:rRNA from 1 species
UACGUAGGGUGCAAGCGUUAAUCGGAAUUACUGGGCGUAAAGCGUGCGCAGGCGGCUUUGCAAGACAGAUGUGAAAUCCCCGGGCUCAACCUGGGAACUGCAUUUGUGACUGCAUGGCUAGAGUGCGGCAGAGGGGGAUGGAAUUCCGCGUGUAGCAGUGAAAUGCGUAGAUAUCGGAAGGAACACCAGUGGCGAAAGCGGCUUCCUGGUCCAGCACCGACGUUCAGGCACGAAAGCGUGGGGAGCAAACAGG